CGUUGUUGGAAACAGCACCAAAGUGUCCGCCGUGUGUGUGCGUGUGUGGGAGGCAAACGAAAAUGGACGACGCUUCCAGUGUACUGGGUGGGCGAUGGCGGGAGGAGCGUCACAUAGAAAAAGAGGGGGGAAAAAAUGGCCGAAAAAAUAAAAAUCAGGAGGAAUUGAACGGCGGGGUGCUCAAAUUCACGCACGACAAGCGCACCACCUUUUUAUUUCCAAGCACAGCGUGAACUUGGUUAUCGAACUUUUAUUUGCUGUAAUUUUUGUUUUCUCUUGGUUUUCAAGAACGCCGCAGUUCUCCACUCAUGAAGCCGCGUGAAUAACAAGACAACUCAAGUGACCUUGAAUAUUUUUCAAAAACUAUUCGUCAUCCUCUUUUUUUUUUGCAUUCUAGGACGACCUUGAACGAUUUAGAGAUGCAACUUGAAGUUUCGCGCCGAAAUGUUUUGUUCCUAGUUUCGCGCCAUGCGCUUCGCACAACAGCAGCGGUAGCAGAAAAUGAAGAUCGCGGCACGGAUGGGCUGAAGGGCCGCGUGUUCGCGCGACGACGACCAUCAACGACUGGCCAAGACCGCCAGGCGCCGCUGCUAGUCACAAGCAGGGUGGUUCGAGCGGACACGGACGAACAGAAACAGGCGUCUAUGUGUCAUCACAUAGCGGCGGCGUUGGCGAUGGAGUGUCGUGUGACUUGCAGACGCCUCCCCUCCUCCUUUUUUUUUCCUUUUUUCUUUUUCGGUCAUCCCAUCGUGUCGACCAAUAGGUUCCAUAGUUGCCACAUUUAGAGGCGGAGUCUGGGGCGGAGCCUUUUAUUUUCUCGGACCUUUGGUGCAGUCCCCUGAAUCUAGUCGACACUCUACCGAGAGAGGGCCAGACAGACGGACCGGAUGCGAGCUGGCUACUUGUAAGACCCCAAUCGUGGCGCUAAUUCACUCUCGCCUUCUUCGCAGCGAUUACUCCAUUCGUCCGAAAAAUAAUUGAUCUAUCGCACAUCAACGAAAAGAUCAUUUAUUACUGCUGUUGACUGAUGAUGUCCCUCCACCAUCUACGAAAAUACGGAGGGCCCGUUUGUGUGUGCGUUUCGAGUAGAAAGACGUCGGCAUUACACGAUUCGGACUCUAUGUGAAGAUGAACUGCUCAUCGUAGAGUGCCAGGCCUCGUUCCACACAAAAAACACUGGCAAUGUAUAAUCAUUCAACGUAUUGCGCUCACGCGUGCCAGGAUCCCCUCUCGUUGUAUGGAAUAAUAAUCACUUGACACUAUUGCCGUUUUUCCGAAAAAUGUCUAGAGAUUUUCAGUAGAGACGUAAUCGAGCGGUCAAUUUGGGCCCUGCCCACGGGUUCGCGUAUUGAUCCAGUCUCCCCCGUCCAUCCAGCAGACGCAUACACACACCCAGACUGGAUAGAGUGGCAGGCCUUUAUUCUUGUCUAAAAGAGACAGACCAAUCUCUCUAAGAUAAACACACAGACGGACUGAUGUUUCAUUUUUCAUGUUGCUAUUUAUUUUCACGUCAAUCAUAAAUAUAGAUGGCGGUGAUACAUGAAGGCAGAGUUACAUCAUGUCCACGCACGAAAGGACUUGAAGACGAACGGCACAGUUAAUGUUGUUUCGUCACUGACACGAAUCGAUGAUGAGCCUACCGUACCCUCUUUUCUUUCUGUGCGUGCAUACACACCCACCCCACAAUAUGGAAUGAAUUCGCAAUCAAUGACCCUAAACAUCGCCGCCAGGCACAAUUCGAUUGGAAAGGUUCGAUCGAUACAGAUUAGCAGUUUCUUGUUUGAUCCACCCAUGCACGAAACGCGAAUAUGAUGUAAUCCAGCUCCACUGUUUAGACUAUUAGGUCGACUAAAACAAGGUCGUCGUAAUUCUAAUUAAUCAAAAUAGUACACACUUUGGCUUUACUCGGAUUUUUUUGGCCGCAGGCGGCACACGUGGCCUUCUAUAUCGCACACACACAAUAAAUACGAAAGUGGCUCAUCACGAGAAACGCCGGCCAUCGUUUUCCGGACAUUUGACGACAUUAACGACUGGGAGAAAACAUAAAAAAAAAAAAAAUAAAUACAUCAAUGUGUGUGUGUGUGUAGUAUUUUUAGGUUUGUUAGUGUUCCUUCUCAACCCCCCUCAUUUAAAAAAAAAAGCCCUCCUUCAACAUUGUCGCUAUAUACUUUGUAUAUGUGUGUGGGGCUGCACACAGUCAAACGAAAUAUUACGACGAUAGCUGUAAGGGCGGGGGGGACUGAGGGGGUAGGAGAAAGUCUUUUUUUCUUUUUCCCCAUUAGUUCAUACCGGAAACGGUGCUGCGCCGAUGGGUGCAUACAUACAUAGCUUUUGCAGCAUGCAGCUAUAGCAAGGCAUUAGCAUUUGAAUAGCGACACGAGUAUAUCAGACACACAGAACGACUGGCAUCAGCCGAUAGAGACACACAUACGCCAAGCAAAUGGCGUGAUGGCUUCUUUUUCUUUAUUUCGUAAGAGCCAUCAGCAAGACACAAAUAACCAUCAGAGCCGACACAUCCGACGGACACGAGAAGAGAACGAAAAAUUAGCAUCAAUAUAAUAUUAGAAUUUCCUAUGUGUGUGUGUGUGUGUGUGGCUCUUCCGUGUCUGUAUGACUUCCGUCCGGUAAUGCACAGGCGACGACGCAGCAGAAAGCCGACGCCUUUCAUCUCGGACCAUUUGGUGUAGAUAUUAUGCAACGUAUAUUUAUAUUCUUUCAAUAGAUUUCGGAAUUGUAUGGAACAUUAUCGUAUAGAGUAUUAGAUGGGCAGCAACGCUCUUCAUUUUUGUUUUGGUUUAACUCGUUCCCACACAGGGUAAACGAAAUCAAAGAUCAUUCGACAUGAAAAAGUCAUUUGGCCUCUUCCAUAACUUUGAGAUCCGAUCAGCGCCGGAUUAGACAGGCUCAUCAUCAUUUGAUUUCAUUAGUAUGACGACGAAAGUCCCCCCCAGUAAAGUUUUCGAGGUUUUCUUUUACCAGAAAAUGAUUUUCAGGGGGGAAAACUUCGUUACAUUUGAAAUGCCAAUCAUCACUCGUAUUGAACAGAUGGUCUCGACGCCGUUGCCAAGUUUCCACCUUUUGUUUUUCCCGUUCCACCAUCUUGUCUCUCCUUUUUUUGUUUGGUUUUUUAAAUUCUUGAUCGAAAAAGAAAAGAAAAAAAGAUGAACAUUUAUCGUCGAAGGGAGGAAAGGGUUGAUGUUGGGGGUCCUCUCACUCCCACAUUUCUUGAUAUCUAUCUAAUGUAAUAAAUCGAUACCUGUCUUUA
rnacentral:lncRNA from 1 species